UGCAACCUGCAGAAGUUCCUGGCUUGUAGAACCGAGAGGGAGAGAAUACCCUUGAGUUGAAUUAUGUUCUGCACAUCUGUAUGUUGACAUCCUAACCCUAAGGGUGUCAGCAUGUAACUAUUCGGAGACGGAGGCCUUGAAAGAGAAUAGGGAAGAUGGCGAGGACCUGAGUCUGCAUUCUGCUGUGUUUCCCACCUGGCCAGAGGUCAGCGGAUGGCUGUCCCCAGCGCCCAGUGCCCUAGCAUCUGUCUGUUCUCCCUCCAGAAGGUUCUUGUCUGCCUACUCACACCAAGGUCAGAGCUGAGGACUCCAGCUCC